AUUUAAUCUGUUUUAUCCAACAGGGCAUUUUACAAAGGCUUGAAGACAUUUCACCAGCUGAGAAUGAAGAUGAGCUGGAAGUUGGAGUUUAUUAUUCAUGAUGGAUGCGGCGUUUUGCAUUGACCAUGCACCACUGCAAUGGAGAAGAUGGUAGGAGAGAAGCUGGAGAUUGCCGUAGUGGGGAGGGCACCCAAGCUUUCAGGACCCAAGAAUGCACAACAGACAGUCAGAUGAUUUCAGAGUAAACAUUCCACUGAGAUGAAUGGGGUGAUUCACGCCUUGCAGGGCUGAUGCUUCAGGUGGCUUUCUGACUGAAGGACAACACUGCCUCACUUUACACCUGCUUCACAUUUUCAGGGUUUUCUUCACAGACAAGAGGGU